CGAUAUCCUUCGAGUGACACACACGCAUGCAUCUGCAUGCGUAUUCCGCUGAACCGAGACUACACAUCUCUCUCGAUCUCCCAUGAUUUUUCUGCUAUCGCGCUCAUCCGGGUGUUAGGCAUCCUCAGUCUGUCCAGAACUUUCACUGUGGAAGGAUGUUUUGGAGUGAUGUGUGAUUUCUUGUGCCCCGUAGUUUGCUCGUUUACGUUUUGUACCGUGUUCCAUCUUCUUCAAUUAUGGAAUGAUUUAUCCAUGUAAAUUUCUAAGUUACAGGUGCACGCGCAUGUUAAUCGACGGUUGCAGACGGAAGGACGGUGUCCGGUUUUAAAAUAUCAAGAUAUCAUCACAGCUCUUUCGUAGAAGAGCGCACUUCAAGGACGCCUAGGAUACGGCUAAACAUACGCAUAUAUGGCACCAGCAGGAGGUGUUGCAGGAAUAUGCAUGUUUUCCAAAAUGGCGUCAUGGGUCACCAUAUCGUUGGAAGCUAUAGCGCCGCUUUCAGGAUCCACACCAAGGUGGAUUAAAAAUAUCAGGUGGUGGAUUAGGGCCUUUGGGGGGUCGCCAUAGUUG